UGGAAUAUAUUGUACAAACAAAAAUAGAUGCUUUCCCUUGGAUUUAUAAUACAGUUUUUAAAUUUUUGAGCUAUAAAAUUAAUUGGUACAUAAAAAUACUAGCAAGGUGUGUGUUGGAGCUCCUUUUCAUGUGUGCUUUUAAAAGUUACUUGUUCCCUGAAGCUAAAUUAUGAAACAUGUGAGUAGCUUUUGUUACUAGAAGCAGUUUUCAUGAGCAUCACCUCUGUAAGGCACCAGAUAAUGAUAAUCUUGGAAGUCUUUACAUCUGGUCGUUUUAUUUUAGCAUACUCCCGAGUCACAUUUCAUCACUGAGUUCUUUGAGGGGAUUGCAUAGUAUUGUGCAUCAGUUGCCGUCACAACAGGUAAAGUGUGUAGCGGGUAGAUCAUGUCACUCACUCCUUGUAGAACAGUCAUUGCUUCAUGCAGAAUUUUUCAUGGAAUUAUCCUUUCCUAUUUUCCUGGGCAAACAUUCUCCUUAACAUCUGAUUAAUUCUACUAACAGUUUAAUGUAUUCUGCUUUCAUAUGAAUGGAGGAUUUAUGGUAAAACCGGUGGUUUUAGAAAAAUCUUGCAUAAUCUAAUAGCGCAGUUUUAUGUUGGCAAAUAAUUGGUCUGAAGUAUUUCAUUAGUAUUAUAAGCCUGAGUUUACAUUACUCAUUUUGAUAAGUUUUCCUGACUAACAACUAGACAGUAAAAUAUUUAUAAAGAAUGUAAAGUUAAUGCCUUCUUAAGCAUCUCUUAAAUUUGAACUCCAGCAGUCUCUUCAAAGAAGCAAGUUACAUGAAUAACUAGUAAACAUUGAGAUAAAAUGCGGAAAUUUUGUUGCUUUUUGUGUUUCUAAUCUGUGUGUAAUGUUUCACUGUGCUGUUUUGACUAUGUUCUUUGUUCUUAAUGUCGCUCAUUCAUUUUCAUGAUCACGUUUUAGCCGUAAAAUUCUAAUUUUCUAUGAAAAGUUUUUCCUGAUUGUUUUUUCUUGCUGCCUAAAUUUUCAUUGUUAGUAGGCACAUUUGUGAGAGGUCUUGCUACAAGUUAUCUUGAGCGCUUACUGUCAGAAACCUUUGCUCCUUGCAAGAUCACUGCAUUCCUGAAUGAUGAGCCACAGGACUGGUUUGUGUCCCACCAUUGUUUUCUGGGAUUUUGAAAAUAGGAGAGCUUGAAGUGGCCUUGCAUAAACUUUCUAAUUUGAUUUUCCUCCCAAACUUAUUUGUGGUAACCUCACUUGAGUUGACUGUACCUGGAUCCCUAUUUUAAUGCAUUCUCAACUCUCAGUUUCCUCUCCUCUGUUAAUAACAGGUUUAGUUUAACAUCUUUUUUGCUUAUUUCUCCAGCUCUCACACAUUAGGUGUAGCUGUUUAUCUUCCACCUACAUAAAGAUAUUUUUCUAAAUGUUAAAAUUAACAAAAUGUCAAAGGUUUCUAGAGGGCUUUCUAACAGUUGGCAAAUUCAUUGUGAAUAGUUUGGCAGUCUACCUCAGUAUUGUUUGAAAUACCUCUCAAAAGACGUUGCUUUUUGUAGUUAUAGUAAUUUUCCAUCAGUACUUUAUUUUUAGUAUUAGAGUAGAUGCUGUGAUCUAAAGCCAGCUCUUAUUUUACAAGAUGACAUUUUCCCUUUGAUAAUACUGAAAGUUACCUAAGAAUAAAUUUUGCUACUCAUCUUUUGAUGUUCAUUGAUACCACUGAUAAUAUCACAAUAUCACUGAUAGUGUGUAGAAACACAUUCCAUUACCUGGCUCACAUUUACCCUGUAGGAAUGCUGCAUGAGUAAAUGAAUACUAUUUUCAGUCUAUUGAUUGCCUUUGCAGCUAGAUACUGGAUUAAUUUAUAUUGCAGCAGUGGAUAAAGUUGGUAUAAAAGUAUCAACUUUUAUAUGAUGAUAUGUCCUUUGGUUAACCCAAAUGUAGUUCAAGAUCUGAUGUGGAUUAAGUCCCUUUAAGUGAGUUUUCACUGAUCCUGUAUUGUAAUGGGUGAACUUCUGGUAAACAGUAGUUUUUAGCUCUGUAAAUACGGUCAUAUGAGGUUUUUGUGUGUUAAGGAGAAAGGUUUUCUAUUUAGAGAAUUAAAAACUCUGUGUUCUUAGGCAAAUGGGGAGGUGUACUUUUUCCAUAACAGAAAAUGUUCAUUCUCCUAAUGGAAAAUUAACACUAUAGUCCCUGUUUUAUAGUUUGUUUCUAGCUGAGAUCUAGCUGGGCUAGAAAUGGUGGUAUAUACAGCAGCAAAUAAAACCCAUGAGAAUUGUGGCAGCAGUGUAGUUUGUCAUAAGGAAGAUACUAGUUUUUAUCCAAUAUUUCCUUUACAGGAAUAUGUUUAUUUGGUUUGAGACACCUUCCUAUAGUGUGGCAUCCAGCAGCAUUUACCUUAUAAAAGUGUGUUCAUAUAAAUACGGCCACCCAGCAAUAAAUGUGUGUGAUAAAGUGAAAGUUACUGUGCAAACUAGUACAUGCUAGAUUUGGAAGGACUGACUGUACGUGUGACCCUCACCAGUUUGUUUGUUAUUAAGUUAAGCUAUUUGCUGGUUUUAUUUUUGAGUAUCAGCAUUGAUGAUGAAUGGUUCUAUUUUAGAUUUAAGUACAUUGUCUGUUUAAAGAGGAUAGUAUUUGGUAGAUAGCACAAAAACAGCAGGAACAGCACAAGAUGGUAUGUCAAGCUUGAAUCCUUUUCCUGUUUUGGUAAUUUUCAGCCGUUACUUAAAUGGUUGAUAUUCUUUAUUCACUUUUACAGGCCCUAGAUGGUCAAAAUAUUUAUAAUGCUUGCUGUACCCUAAGGAUUGAUUUUUCCAAACUUGUGAAUUUGAAUGUCAAAUACAACAAUGAUAAAAGUAGGGAUUAUACGCGCCCUGAUCUUCCCUCUGGAGAUGGACAGCCUGCCCUAGACCCAGCUAUCGCCGCAGCGUUCGCCAAGGAGACGUCCCUUCUAGCCAAUGGUAAUGAUAGUAAGAAAUUUAAAGGAGAAGAUAAAAUGGAUGGUGCUCCUUCUCGUGUACUUCAUAUUCGAAAAUUACCUGGUGAAGUGACAGAAACUGAAGUGAUUGCUUUAGGCUUACCUUUUGGUAAGGUGACUAACAUCCUUAUGCUGAAAGGAAAAAACCAGGCAUUUUUGGAAUUGGCAACAGAGGAAGCAGCCAUUACUAUGGUUAAUUACUAUUCUGCCGUGACACCUCAUCUUCGGAACCAGCCAAUUUACAUCCAGUACUCCAACCACAAAGAACUAAAGACUGAUAAUACACUAAACCAAGUGAGUAUGUAUGGCUGCAUAAGUGAAAUGCCUGGCACAUUUGAGGAUUCUCAAGUGGUAGAUAUCAACAGAGAGUGUGAGCCAUUGAGAAUGUGUGUCUGCAGUCAAUUCCUUGUUACAUUUAAGGUGUUUCAUGCAUUAUGUCCCUAACUACAGACUGCUACAUUCAUCUCAGAAACUUUGUGCAGCUUAAUAUUUUCAUGUUCUAAACUAGUAUUAAAUGAAUUGGUUAAUUUUGAAAUUCCUUUAAACCCCUGAUCAAAAGUUUCUUUUCUUAUUAAAGGGAAAAUUUUGUAUAAAAACUAGGGCUGAAUGGUAUAGUUCAUUAAUAGAGCAUGACCUCAGCAUGAGAUGCCCUGGGUUUAGACACCAGCACCAAACAAAAGACAAAGAAAUAAGGUGGUGCUGUGGACAGCUUAGAGAAGACCCCACUAUUCAUCAGGCUGAGGUAGGAGGGUUCCUUGAGUCCAGAGCUGGUUAGAGGCCAGUCUGAGCAAAAUAGAUGUCGUCCUUUCAAAACAAACAAAAAAAACCGUUUAGUUAAUUUAUUUUAUUUACUUUUUUAUGGCAGCUGGGGGCAGGGGACGAGGUUUCAACUUGGGCAAGAUAGGGUCUCAUGUCCAGACCUUGAUCCUCCUUCAUACAUUUCCCAUGUAGCUUGAAUGAGAGGUGCUCACCACUACACCAGUGUUUUUUGUUGAAGUACAGCUUACUUUUUUGCCCUGGGCUGCCCUGGAACCACAACCCGCCUGACCAGCUAGGAUUACAGACCUGCACCACCACACCCUGUCCAAAGAGACUGCUUAUGAAGUAGAGCUUACUGUUAGCGUGGCUUUAAGUUUAUGAAAUUCCCUGCCUUUGCUUAUUUUUCUCUCUGUAGAUUUUAGUUACGAAAUCCUUUUAAAAAUGAGUUAAUGGUUUUUCUGCAGGAGAAAACUUAAGAAUGGAAUAUGUAUGAGUGUAUUGAUGCUUUAAGAAUGGUAUAAAAGAUAUCACUUAAAUUUAAUGUUAAAAAUGAUAUAAGAAUGUUUUUAAUAACUUAAGUACAUAGGAUUAUUGUAAUGUUCUAAAAACUUUAUCUCUUUUUUAUUACAGUUUUUGAAAAUAAUAUCUAUUUCAGUAAAAUAUAAACUGCACCUGGCUCUUGGCUUUAUUGAAGAGUUAAUGGGGAGUAAUUGCUUAUCGAUUUUCAUCACUUCACAAAAAGUGACUUGGAAUAAUUUUAAUAGUUUAUGAAAGAUAAGCUUGUAAAACUCAUUGCCUAAAAGACAGGGCUGACAUUUUGACAUUUCAGUAUUUUUCUUUUUUUGGAGUGGAAGUGAUAGUAAAGUUCAGGAAAGGAACAUGCUUUCAAUAUGCUGAAAGGUCAUUUCUAGAAAGAGUGUGAGAAUGAAGUAUACCAAGAGAAAUAACUGCUCUCUAUUUUUUAUAUUUUUGUAUUUAUUAUCUAUGUUUAAUUGAGAUCAUGUGGUAUUUGUCUUUCUAUGCCCAGUUUAUUUCAUUUAGUAUCGUCUGUUCUCUUAAAAUGUCAUUAAAUGUCUCAGUUUUGUCAGUAUAAUUCAUGAGUACAUUCUCAUUUUUUAAAUUUUUUUGUGGUUCUUGGGGAUUGGACCCAGUGCUUUGAACAUGUGCAGCAACCACUGAGCUAUAACUCCAGCCUCACAUUCUCAUUUUAAAAAGAUUCACUAGAAAGUAUAGUGUAGAUGAAUAAAAAGAGGGAUUUUUUCUAGGUUGACGUACAUGGGAGAGAGUGACUUUCAGGGAUGGGUGCACUAAACAGCCUUUGAAAAGGGACAUUGCCACAAUGAACUUGAGGGUGGUAGAGAACAAGUCACUUACUUCAGCCUUGGCUAUUCCAGACAGAGGGAACUGUCAAUGCAAAGUUUUUUCUGUGGAAAACAUUUUUAAUUUUUGAAAGGCCAUCUUCUUUAAUCAUCCUUUUUACACUAAAUUGUUCAUGUCUUAUGACUUACAUUUCUUUGAGGAUUGUAAUGAUAGUGUUUGAAUUAUCUCUUCUCUUAAUCAUUAGCCUUUAUGUUUGACCUCUCUCUCCCUACCCUUCCCGUUUGUUGGCCUGUCAGAAUGAGCAGUUAGAUUCUGUUGGACUUGAUGCUUUUCUCCAGGGUAAAGUAAUAUUCAGCAGCAGGAAAAUAAGUUAUGGUGUGUUCCCUUAGCGGAAUACUGAGCCACAAUAAGAAUGAACAAGCCACUUGUACCUGCAAAAUGCUGAUGUAUGCUUUAUUGAGAGAAGCCAAAUGGAAGAUGGAAGUGAACACACAUGAAGUGAUUCCAUUUAGAUGACUGGGAGUCAGCAAGAUUGUGACUGCUAACCAUUAAUAAUGUUCUGCUUUUCAUAGGAAUAAUCAUUUCGCAGAGAUGUCUCAUUUGUUGCAUUUUAUUGAGCUCCAUUCCCAGGAUUUAUGUCCUGUAUACGUGCUAUAUUUUGAUAAGUUCAGUUAAAGUCAAGGUUGGUGAGCCAGCUGUGCCCCAUGAAUUAAAACAAGCAUGUGUGAGCGUGCUCAAGCAGUUCUUCAAGCUGUGACAGCUGUCCAGACAGCAAACACUCCUCUUAGUGGCACCACAGUUAGUGAGAGUGCAGUGACUCCAGCCC